CUUAGAGUUUGAUCCUGGCUCAAGACGAACGCUGGCGGCGUGCUUAACACAUGCAAGUCGAACGGGGUGUUUAUUUCGGUAAACACCAAGUGGCGAACGGGUGAGUAACGCGUAAGCAAUCUACCUUCAAGAUGGGGACAACACUUCGAAAGGGGUGCUAAUACCGAAUGAAUGCAAGAGUAUCGCAUGAGACACUUACUAAAGGAGGCCUCUGAAUAUGCUUCCGCUUGAAGAUGAGCUUGCGUCUGAUUAGCUAGUUGGUGAGGGUAAAGGCCCACCAAGGCGACGAUCAGUAGCCGGUCUGAGAGGAUGAACGGCCACAUUGGGACUGAGACACGGCCCAGACUCCUACGGGAGGCAGCAGUGGGGAAUCUUCCGCAAUAGGCGAAAGCCUGACGGAGCAACGCCGCGUGAACGAUGAAGGUCUUAGGAUCGUAAAGUUCUGUUGUUAGGGACGAAGGGUAAGAAUCAUAAUAAGGUUUUUAUUUGACGGUACCUAACGAGGAAGCCACGGCUAACUACGUGCCAGCAGCCGCGGUAAUACGUAGGCGGCAAGCGUUGUCCGGAAUUAUUGGGCGUAAAGGGAGCGCAGGCGGGAAACUAAGCGGAUCUUAAAAGUGCGGGGCUCAACCCCGUGAGGGGGUCCGAACUGGUUUUCUUGAGUGCAGGAGAGGAAAGCGGAAUUCCCAGUGUAGCGGUGAAAUGCGUAGAUAUUGGGAAGAACACCAGUGGCGAAGGCGGCUUUCUGGACUGUAACUGACGCUGAGGCUCGAAAGCUAGGGUAGCGAACGAAAUUAGAUACCCCGGUAGUCCUAGCCGUAAACGACC
rnacentral:rRNA from 1 species